rnacentral:rRNA from 1 species
AUGAACGCUGGCGGCGUGCCUAAUACAUGCAAGUCGAGCGAACGGACGAGAAGCUUGCUUCUCUGAUGUUAGCGGCGGACGGGUGAGUAACACGUGGAUAACCUACCUAUAAGACUGGGAUAACUUCGGGAAACCGGAGCUAAUACCGGAUAAUAUUUUGAACCGCAUGGUUCAAAAGUGAAAGACGGUCUUGCUGUCACUUAUAGAUGGAUCCGCGCUGCAUUAGCUAGUUGGUAAGGUAACGGCUACCAAGGCAACGAUGCAUAGCCGACCUGAAAGGGUGAUCGGCCACACUGGAACUGAGACACGGUCCAGACUCCUACAGGAGGCAGCAGUAGGGAAUCUUCCGCAAUGGGCGAAAGCCUGACGGAGCAACGCCGCGUGAGUGAUGAAGGUCUUCGGAUCGUAAAACUCUGUUAUUAGGGAAGAACAUAUGUGUAAGUAACUGUGCACAUCUUGACGGUACCUAAUCAGAAAGCCACGGCUAACUACGUG